GGUGGGCUUGGUGGCUUUUCUAGUACUGCGAGCCAAUGGCGCUCCGUUGACAGAAGCGACCACCGUCUUGCCAUCAAGCGACACCUCAAGUGAGGAGGAAACGGCGCCCUCUGACCUGCUGACCUCUGCUCAUGUUUGGGACUCGGUUCUGGGUACCGCUAAAGAACACCAGAAAGCUUUUGAUGAUGAAUUCCAAAACAAUGUCAACUUUCAUUUACUGGAGCACUACAAAGCACCUCAGUUUCCAGCAAACUGCCCCAGCUCCAACUUUAGCAAGGUAAGAACCAGAAAUGGAAAACCACCAGAGGUGGGAGAAAAUACAGACACUGACACUUUCCAUAAUUGUUUGCUAGCAUCGGCUUGACACAACAUCCUGCGGAAGCUCUACAUCUUCAUUGUUGACGGCGAGAGGGCGCUGAGGCGCAAAGAACGGCGAAGGGGAAAACAUGCCAAGGUCUUCGCCAUGUUUAGUUUAUUGCGGUAGUCACGUCCGCCACUGAAGCCCGUCGGAAAUGUUGGGCAAAACAUGAAGUGAAUUAAGUUGUUGGAUCUGCACUGACGUGUCGUAACCCACUGACGUAUUGAUGAUGUAUUUGUUUUUGCAUGACGCACUGAGUUUUUUAAUUCUUUUAUUCUGUAGAUAACCUAUUUA